rnacentral:rRNA from 1 species
UACGUAGGGUGCGAGCGUUGUCCGGAAUUAUUGGGCGUAAAGAGCUUGUAGGCGGUUUGUCGCGUCUGCCGUGAAAUUUCGGGGCUCAACCCCGAACUUGCGGUGGGUACGGGCAGACUAGAGUGUGGUAGGGGAGACUGGAAUUCCUGGUGUAGCGGUGAAAUGCGCAGAUAUCAGGAAGAACACCCGUGGCUAAGGCGGCUCUCUAGUACGGUACUGACGCUGAGACGCGAAAGCGUGGGGAGCGAACAGG